rnacentral:rRNA from 1 species
CCGUGAAAAAAUUAGAGUGUUCAAAGCAGGCAGAUCCAAUUUUCUGCCACCGAAUACAUUAGCAUGGGAUAAUGGAAUAGGACCCUGUCCUCCUAUUUUCAGUUGGUUUUGGCAGCGCGAGGACUAGGGUAAUGAUUAAUAGGGAUAGUUGGGGGCAUUAAUAUUUAAUUGUCAGAGGUGAAAUUCUUGGAUUUAUGAAAGAUUAACUUCUGCGAAAGCAUCUGCCAAGGAUGUUUUCAUUAAUCAAGAACGAAAGUUAGGGGAUCGAAGACGAUCAGAUACCGUCGUAGUCUUAACCAUAAACGAUGCCGACCAGCGAUUAGGAGACGUUGAAUACAAAACACCACCAUCGGCGCGGUCGUCCUUGGCGUGUCUCGGCUUCACGGCUGGGGCGCGCGAGGGCGGUUUAGCCCGGUGGCACCGGUGAAUGACUCCC